CGCAUUCAAAGUUGUCCGAUUCAAAGACAGGAGCGCACGCGAGCAGAUGGAAACCAUGGAAACGAGGAAACCUCUUCAACUGACAAACAGCAAAGAACAGCGUCUCUCUGUUUUUCCACUGCUUUCAGGUAAGUUUAGUUAACAAAAUCACACAAAUAAUACAUACAAACGUUCCUAACACCUUUCUUACGUAUAAUUGAUACGCUUCUGUUGAAUAUUUACUUUGUAGAAAAGGUUUUGAGUCUUCGAAAAAGUCCGUUAGCAUCUCAACUGUUUUCAGAAUAGUCUAGAAAAUCAUCAUGAUGUCCUGCUACAGCCCUGUCCCAAGACAACCUCCACGGCUAUGAACUCGACUAAUGAGAUAUCAUUUGACCCUGUGAUUCUUCAGGACCAGAUCUUGAUGCCAUCCACACCCAGUACAUGACAAAGAUGCUGUGACAAAAAGCAGUCAAGCCACUGCAUGUGAUGUGGAAGCCUCUAUGAAGACAUGGCUCCAUAAUCCCUGGGACAGAGAUGGGGCAAGGAAGGGCCAGAACUGCAGAAAUACCUACUGUUGCCCCUGAGGGGAUUGAUUUUUAAUUUUCAAUCCCCUGUUUUCUGUGGUUAUUGCUGUUUUAAACUGUAUUAUCAUUAAUUAUAAUUAUUAUUAAAUAUAAAUAAAUUAUUUGGGGAAAAAACAUGACCCUCGAUUUAUUGCUGCUAACAAGUCCAAUUGUACUGCAUAUAGUAAUAUGGGUGUACCUACUCUGUGUGCUCAAAUUUUGCAACUGCACCCACAGUGUGCCCACAUCCAGCCUGCUAUAAUUUGUGUGGGCCAGCCCAAAGUCAGCCCACACUUUGGGCUGGCCCACGGUAAGUAGAGUGGGCCCCGAUUGGAGCCAGUUGUGGGCCCACAGCAAACCCUUAUAGGGGCCCAUUUGGGGCCAUUGCAGGCAGCCCACUGUGGGCCCACAACUGGCCCCAAUGGGGGCCCACUCUACUUACCGUGGGCCUGCCCAUAGUCAGCCCACACUUUUGGGCUGUCCCACUGGGGCCCCACCUGGGUCCCGA